ACACCGGCAGCCCAAGUGGUGGCCAUUUUUAUUGGGCCUAAAGCGUUCGUAGCCGGCCUGAUAAGUCUCUGGUGAAAUCCCGCAGCUUAACUGUGGGAAUUGCUGGAGAUACUAUCAGGCUUGAGGUCGGGAGAGGUUAGAGGUACUCCCAGGGUAGGGGUGAAAUCCUAUAAUCCUGGGAGGACCACCUGUGGCGAAGGCGUCUAACGGGAACGAACCUGACGGUGAGUAACGAAAGCCAGGGGCGCGAACCGGAUUAGAUACCCGGGUAGUCCUGGCCGUAAACGAUGUGGACUUGGUGUUGGGAUGGCCUCGAGCUGCCCCAGUGCCGAAGGGAAGCUGUUAAGUCCACCGCCUGGGAAGUACGGUCGCAAGACUGAAACUUAAAUGAAUUGGCGGGG
rnacentral:rRNA from 1 species